rnacentral:rRNA from 1 species
GACGAACGCUAGCGGCGUGCUUAACACAUGCAAGUCGAGCGGAAAGGCCACUUCGGUGGUACUCGAGCGGCGAACGGGUGAGUAACACGUGAGUAAUCUGCCCUUGGUUUUGGGAUAGCUACCGGAAACGGUGAUUAAUACCGGAUAUGACCACUUCUCGCAUGGGUUGUGGUGGAAAGUUUUUUCGGCCAGGGAUGUGCUCGCGGCCUAUCAGCUUGAUGGUGAGGUAAUGGCUCACCAUGGCUUCGACGGGUAGCCGGCCUGAGAGGGUGACCGGUCACACUGGGACUGAGACACGGCCCAGACUCCUACGGGAGGCAGCAGUGGGGAAUAUUGGACAAUGGGCGGAAGCCUGAUCCAGCAACGCCGCGUGAGGGAUGACGGCCUUCGGGUUGUAAGCCUCUUUCGGUAGGGACGAAGCGCAAGUGACGGUACCUGCUAAAGAAGCACCGGCCAACUACGUGCCAGCCGCCGCGGUAAGAC